GUGCCAGCCGCCGCGGUAAUACGUAGGGUGCUAGCGUUAUCCGGAAUCACUGGGCGUAAAGCGUGCGUAGGCGGCUUGUUAAGUGAGAUGUUAAAACGUGGGGCUCAACCCUGUCGGUGCAUCUCAUACUGGCAGGCUAGAGGAAGGCAGAGGCAAGUGGAAUUUGUAGUGUAGCAGUGAAAUGCGUAGAUAUUACAAGGAACACUAAUGGCGAAGGCAGCUUGCUGGGCCUUUUCUGACGCUGAGGUACGAAAGCGUGGGGAGCGAACAGGAUUAGAAACCCUCGUAGUCC
rnacentral:rRNA from 1 species